rnacentral:rRNA from 1 species
AUGAACGCUAGCGGCAGGCUUAAUACAUGCAAAUUGAGGGGCAGCAUGAUAUACGCGAGUAUAUUGAUGGCGACCGGCGGACGGGUGAGUAAUAGGUAGGAGACCUACCUCAUACAGGGGGAUAGCAUAGAGAAAUCUGUGGUAAUACCCCAUGAGGUUAUAUGAAUAGAGGCAUAUAAUCAAAGCAUAAGCGAUUAUGCGGUAUGAGAGGGGCCUACUGACCAUUAGCUAGUUGGUGAGGUAAGGGCUCACCAAGGCGAAGAUGGUUAGGGGUUUUGAGAGAGAGACCCCCCACAUUGGAACUGAGAGACGGUCCAGACUCCUACGGGAGGCAGCAGUAGGGAAUAUUGGGCAAUGGGCGAAAGCCUGACCCAGCCAUGCCGCGUGAAGGAAGACGGCCUUAUGGGUUGUAAACUUCUUUACUACGCGAAUAGAGGUUAGUACGAGAUACUAAUAGGAAGGUAGUGUAGUAAAAAGCACCGGCUAACUCCGUG